rnacentral:rRNA from 1 species
UGGGGAAUAUUGCGCAAUGGGGGAAACCCUGACGCAGCCAUGCCGCGUGAGUGACGAAGGCCUUAGGGUUGUAAAGCUCUUUCGCUAGGGAAGAUAAUGACGGUACCUAGUAAAGAAGCCCCGGCUAACUCCGUGCCAGCAGCCGCGGUAAUACGGAGGGGGCUAGCGUUGUUCGGAAUCACUGGGCGUAAAGCGCGCGUAGGCGGACUGAUUAGUUGGGGGUGAAAGCCCGGAGCUCAACUCCGGAACUGCCUCCAAUACUGUCAGUCUUGAGGUCGAGAGAGGUAAGCGGAAUUCCGAGUGUAGAGGUGAAAUUCGUAGAUAUUCGGAAGAACACCAGUGGCGAAGGC